AGAGUGAUUAACAGAAAGGAAGAGAGUGAGAGAGAGGGAAGAGGUAAACAGAGUGAUUAACAGAAAGGAAGAGACAGUGGGAGAGAGGGAAGAGGUAAACAUAGUGAUUAACAGAAAGGACGAGACAUUGGGAGAGAGGGAAGAGGUAAACAGAGUGAUUAACAGAAAGGACGAGACAUUGGGAGAGAGGGAAGAGGUAAACAGAGUGAUUAACAGAAAGGACGAGACAUUGGGAGAGAGGGAAGAGGUAAACAUAGUGAUUAACAGAAAGGAAGAGAGUGGGAGAGAGGGAAGAGGUAAACAGAGUGAUUAACAGAAAGGACGAGACAUUGGGAGAGAGGGAAGAGGUAAACAUAGUGAUUAACAGAA